ensembl:lncRNA
GUCCGUCUAAAGGCUGGGUGGGGAGGCACUGGCACAGCAGAGGUCAGGCUGCGGGGAGCAGACGCUGCCUGUGCCGAGGGAGCGGAGCGAGGCUGGAUAGCCACACGAGGAUACCCGCUGAAAGCAGAUGCAGGCUUUUGUUCCCUGGUGACAGAUGACAGCCUGGGCCUCAUGCCUGGCCUUGUCCAGGCUUGUGAACUCGCGUGAGCUGCGGGCUUUGCACUGAACUCAGGAGCCGACGUGUGAGGGUUCUUGUGGCCCCGGGGCUCUGCCGCCGGGGGAGGGGCCGUGUCUCCAAGCCCCUCUGCCCAGCCUCCGGCUAAAGCAUCCUUUAGCCCCUUGGGAUGGGUUGUGUGCAUGGGUUGGGGCGGCCCAGCAGCGCCCGGCGGGGAUGGUGCCCAGCCCGGGUGGGGACCGGAGGCUGAUGCCUGCGGUAGGCUGCAUGUCACGAACCUUCUCGGAAGAGACUCUUCCUUCUCUGGGUCCUUGGUCCGGGGCGAUGAUGGGGUGCCCUCAUACACAGGACUUUUAGGGAGACUUCCCGGGAGGGUACUGUGCACACCAGCACCCACGCCCGGCCCCGGAUCCCUUUGUCCCCCUUGUCUGUUCUGGCGUCACACCUGCUGAAGACUGUGCCCCAAGCUGGGGUGCAGGUUCUGUCCCAGGUGUAUAUGCAGCUGCCCCCACCCCCCACCCCCCCACGCUGCUCCAGCCCUGGCUGUGCUCCCCCUGGUGGGCCCCAGCCACCCAACCCCGACCCUGCCAAGGGACCCCCCCUCUCUGGGGGGCGGGGAGGGGCUGCCACCNNNNNNNNNNNNNNNNNNNNNNNNNNNNNNNNNNNNNNNNNNNNNNNNNNNNNNNNNNNNNNNNNNNNNNNNNNNNNNNNNNNNNNNNNNNNNNNNNNNNNNNNNNNNNNNNNUGGAGGUGCAUCUGGCCCUGGGCCCCUCCCUGGGCCCCACCUGCCUGGGGAUGGGGCAGCUCCUGGCUCCCCUCCACGAGGCACUGGCUUUCUGUCCUUGCAGCGGCUGAUGGAGAAACACCCCACCCGGGCCAGACCCGGAACAGCCUCAGAGCCAGAGUGGCCGCAGGUGCGUGUGGAUGCAGAGCUGAUGGCCUCUCGGGACACGGUGACAGCCAGACCCAGGUCACACCCGCUCCUGCCCAGCGACGCUGCUGUGCCCUCCCUGAGCCCCCAGGAAGGACGGAAGAGUAGGACGGACGCGUCGGCCAGGGCAGGUCAGUGUCCUCGGCACCAGCGCCUCAGCAGCCAACAGAACCCGCUCCCCACGUGGGCCCCGAGUGGGCGGCUGAGUCAGGUCCCCAACAGAGAGGCCCGGACCCUCGCCCACAGCCAUGCGGUGUGUCUGCUGCCUGAACCGCGGGACUGGCCAUCAGGCACCACUGCCUCCUGCUGUAGGGGCAGCGGGGAUCCAGGGGACCAGUAAGCGGACACACAGGUCACUGUCCCCACCCGCACAGACCUGGGGGCAGUGGGCCUGCAUUACAGCAAGAAAGCUUUCGGUUGAUACCUGCUGAAACAGCCCAACAGCAGAGGCCGUGGCCGAGGAAGGGGGAGUGUGGGCGGGUUGCCCAGGUCUGUCUGCCCUGCUGGCCUUGCUCUGGGCCGACCUACAGGGUGGCCAUGGGUGUCUCCCUGAAGCCCUGGUUACAGCCCGUCUCUGCCCCCUCGGGGACAGGGGACCCCACCCUCUCCCGGGCCCCCUCCAUCUGUCUGAGUGGUUUUCCCUGAAGCGUCUCAAGCGCUGGCCUGUGACGGUCCAGCCCAGCCCCCUAACUGUGUCCUGUGUGAGCAUCAGGGGCCUUUUCAUGAGCGGUCAGUGGAGCAAAGCCUCUGAGCCCUGGCUGAGCCGGUGGCGGCCAACGUGGGAGCUCCCAGGUGGGCACGGCACUUGGCCGUGAGGCUCUGCUCCCGUGAUCAACUUCCAGUUGAAGUUCCUCGCGGUCACAGAGCCUGAAUACGCUGAGACGUGGGUCUAGUUUGGCGGAUGUUCCUCGUGCGCCAGAGAAGCAACGCCGGUAGUGGGCAUGUCGGCGUUUCGGGGGAUCGUGGGGUUUUGGUGAAGCGACUCCUUUAAAAUUCUGUUCUCAUGGAAGGACCCUCUCUGUGCUGAGCGACACGCCACGCCGUGCCCUGACCCCGGCGGCGUUGUCUGAAACGGGUCCAGCUCCCCAGGCUCGUCCCCAACCAGCGUUAGGCCUGCCCUUUUAGCUGGGGCGUGUUUCCGUGGUGCCAGCGUGCUUCCUGGGCUGCACGUCGCUCACCGCGCUGCCCAUCGCCGCCCUGAGGGCGGAGCGCGUGGCUGUUUCCAUUUCACACGAUCAUCAGCCUUGUUAGGUUUCGAGUCUCUCAUCUUUGCUAUUUUCUUUGAUCUAAACUGCGCUUGUUUUCUUUUCUCUUUUUCUGCCUUCUCUUUGGAUGAGACAAGUAUUUUUUUAUGAUUCCGUUUUUUCUCUGUUGUUGGCUCAUGAACACUUAUGUCGUGGGCGCGUCAGGGUUUGCAGUGGCACCUGCGGUCUAGCUUCACGCGACGUUCCUCCAGCUUCCCUGGCGGGGGAGGCCCUCCGUGCCUCCUUUUCUGGACGUGAGGCUCUUUCGUUCAGGCAUUUGACUUUAUAAACCCAUAAAACGUUGUCCCUGUUUUAAAUACUCCGCAAUCGUUUAAAGCUUAUGUAUGUAUAUGCACACACGUGUGUAUAUGCAUAUGUUUAUAUGUUUAUGUACAUAAAAAUGUACACACGUGUAUAAAUUUUCUCAUUUCUGGGAGUUCCCGUCAUGGCGCAGUGGAAAUGAGUCUGACUAGGAACCAUGAGGCUGCGGUUCGAUCCCUGGCCUCCUUCAGUGGGUUAAGGAUCUGGCGUUGUUGUGAGCCGUGGUGCAGGUCACAGACAUGGCUCGAAUCCUGCGUGGCUGUGGCUGCGGGGUAGCCUGGCAGCUGUAGCUCCAACUGGACCCCUAGCCUGGGACGCUCCAUAGGCCGUGGGUGUGGCCCUAAAAAGCAAAAAAACAACUUUUUUCCCUCCAUUUCUGGUGCUCUGCGCUCCUGGUGUUCACCCAGAGCCCUCCCUCUGGCAUCAUUUCCUCCUGCCCGAAGUCCCCUCCCUAACAUGUCUGGAAGCACUGGUCUGCGGGAGACAAAUUCCUUUGUUACCAAGUCCAGGUUUGUACUGCUUGCUGCCCCGAAGUCAGUACCCGAGAGGCGUGCGUUGGUAGAAAGGGAAGGUUGCUUCCUUCCAGGGGCUGGAGCCUGGGGAGCAGGCGGACUCACGUCCAAAGGCCAACUCCCUGCAGCGGAGCGGAGGGGGGAGGAGAGGUUUUAAAGAGGGGUGUUUCGGGGUUGUGUAGACAGAGGGAGGGGCUGUGAGCACAAGAGCGCCAUCUGCUCCGGUACCUGCCUCGGAGUUCGUCGUCAUGUGGAGGUGCGACCAGCGCCGUCCUAGUUGCCUUAAGCACCGUUCAUCUUCAGUUCCAAGGUCCCUUUGUUCCCAUUUCCCUGAGGACGGUUCUCAGCAUCGUGGCAGCUGAUGUCAUGGCUGCAGUCUGGGCGCCUCGUAGUUAACCUCUUCCCCUUGGCGGGGGCUUCAGUAUCUACGAGACAGCGUGCAGGACCUGGCUCAGAAUCGCACGUGUCGUCCUCAAGGUGGACGUGUAGUCACUGACUUUGUUUAAUGAUGACACUAUUAUUAUUUGGUCUUGUUUGUGUGCCUUUGCCUCUGUGUUUUUCUCACUCCUCUGAUUAAAUUUAUUCUCUGGCAAAAGUUUUUCUACAGACAAAAGGCAGGCCAAGGACACUGUGGGAGGUUGGCCCAUAACGUCCUGCUCCCUUUCACAGCCUCAUGAAGAUCUGGUGUGAAGCUGCGUGGGGGUGGGGGCCAUUAAACUGCCCAGACAUCCUCGCUUUAUGAGGUCCUCCUGUAAAAAAGGCGCCCGGAACCCCUAGGUGACCCAGCAUGCCUGCUUCCUGUCCUCAGAGCCUGUGCAGGAGGGGAGACCAGACCAGAGCCCCUCCCAGUGGCCGCCGGCUCGGCUCUACCCUUGGGAUAACCCCAACCUCCAGGUACAGGAGAGGUCCCCGGGGAGGGACAUGCAAACGGGGGGCGGGGGAGGCGCUGGCAGUGGGUAUGAGACCCCGUCUUCCCGCUGCUGCCUGGGGCCAUCAGGGCGAGGCCCUCCUCUCCUAGCGCCUGCACCAGGGACCCUCCGCUGCAGGUCCUGGGCUGAGGGAUGGCCAUCUGCUCAAGCCCCUUCCUCAUGCCUGGGGUGGCAGGGGACCACAGGCAUUUCAACCCGUGUUUCAGGCGGGGCUGGUCCCAUCAGUGCUGGUUGCACAUUUUGGGGAGGCGGCUCCCCCCUUCCUGAACCCCCCAGAGCACAAAC